rnacentral:tRNA from 1 species
GUGGUGGUGGCUUAGUGGUGGAGUGCUUGCCUAGCAUGUGUGAGGCACUGGGUUCGAUCCUCAACACCACA